UGGGGAAUAUUGGACAAUGGGGGCAACCCUGAUCCAGCCAUGCCGCGUGGGUGAAGAAGGCCUUCGGGUUGUAAAGCCCUUUUGUACGGGAAGAAAAGCCAGCGGGGAAUAUCCGCUGGUCAUGACGGUACCGUAAGAAUAAGCACCGGCUAACUUCGUGCCAGCAGCCGCGGUAAUACGAAGGGUGCAAGCGUUACUCGGAAUUACUGGGCGUAAAGCGUGCGUAGGUGGUGAGUUAAGUCUGAUGUGAAAUCCCCGGGCUCAACCUGGGAAUGGCAUUGGAUACUGGCUCGCUAGAGUGCGGUAGAGGGUGGUGGAAUUCCCGGUGUAGCAGUGAAAUGCGUAGAGAUCGGGAGGAACAUCUGUGGCGAAGGCGGCCACCUGGACCAGCACUGACACUGAGGCACGAAAGCGUGGGGAGCAAACAGGAUUAGAUACCCCCGUAGUCC
rnacentral:rRNA from 1 species